rnacentral:rRNA from 1 species
GACGAACCGUGCGAACGUUAUUCGGAAUCACUGGGCUUAAAGGGCGCGUAGGCGGGCUCGCCAGUCAGGGGUGAAAUCCUCCAGCUCAACUGGAGAAGUGCCUUUGAUACUGCGAGUCUCGAGGGAGGUAGGGGCGUGCGGAACUUCCGGUGGAGCGGUGAAAUGCGUAGAUAUCGGAAGGAACACCGGUGGCGAAAGCGGCGCGCUGGACCUCUUCUGACGCUGAGGCGCGAAAGCCAGGGGAGCAAACGGG